rnacentral:lncRNA from 1 species
AUGUCACCUGUUAUCGCCGCAUCCUUCGCAGUCCCAACCUCUCCGGCGGCCGGCUCCGGUCGCUCGCGGCUGAGCUCCUCGGGUGGCCGCACGGCGGCGGGCGGUUCCUCCCGGGGCGGGGGGCUGCUGGCCCGCGGCUCCGCGCCGCCCGCCUGGGGCUCCUCGGCCGCGGCGGGCGCCUCGCCGCUGCGCUUCUCCCGCGGCGGCUCCGGCCCGGCGUCUCCCGCGCCGCUCGGGCUCUCAGACAAAGGUUUCGGCGUCUCCUCCUUGAUGCACUCCAGGCUGGCGGUCAGGGACCCCGGCAUGAUAAGGCCGGACGGGAUGUCCGAGGUUUCCCCCCUCUCCUCCUUGCCGUUUUUGUCCUUUUUGUGCCACCGCAUGCUGCUGAAGAUCCCCUUCAGCCCCCUCUUUUGUCUGCCGCCGGCCCGCGGCUCCGCGCCCUCCGCCUGCCUGCCGUUCUUCCUCAGCAGCGAGAAGAAGCUGUGCGACUUGGCCACCGCGCUGCCGGCGGGGCCGCCGAGGCCGCCGGCCGGCCUCUCCUGCGCCUCGCGGCUCGGCGCCUCGCCGCCGCCCGGUUCCUCCUUCUUGCUGCUCUCCAGCACGGCGUCGGCCAAGCCGUCGUGCGUCCGGCUCCGCACCAUCCCCGGCUUGCCGGCGCCCUUACCCUCCCCUCCUCUGCUCCGCACCCCGAAGAUGCUCGGCAUGGUUCCCCCGGACUUCCUCCUCCUGAAAAGCUUGAAAGCGGUUUUGUUAAUCCUCCCCGACGGCUGCUCGGCGGCCGGGGGCUCCACACAGUCGCAGUGCGAGUCCAUUUCUGCCUCUGCCGCGGCCGCCGCGGCUUCCCCUCCGCCGCGGAGCGCGGUGCGAUCCCUCAGUGACAGCCCCGCCGCCGCCGCCCGCCCGUCUCCAUGGCAACCCGGCGGAGGGAGGGAAGGAGGGGAUAAGCCGCUUUCCCCCGCCACGGGCCCGCGCCAGGCGCCGCCGCCCGUUCCGAGCCGUUCCGAGCCGUUCCGAGCCGCCCCGCGCCGCCGCAGCGCCGCCCGCCCCGCGGCCCUUACAUAA